rnacentral:tRNA from 1 species
GGCAUGGUGGCCAAGUGAAAAGGCGUUGGUCUCGUCAACCGAAGAUCAUAGAUUCAAAUCCUGUCCGUGCCU